AGGACGAGCGCUGGCGGCGUGCCUAAUACAUGCAAGUAGAACGCUGAAGAGAGGAGCUUGCUCUUCUUGGAUGAGUUGCGAACGGGUGAGUAACGCGUAGGUAACCUGCCUGGUAGCGGGGGAUAACUAUUGGAAACGAUAGCUAACACCGCAUGAAAUGGAUUAUCGCAUGAUAAUCGAUUGAAAGGUGCAAAUGCAUCACUACCAGAUGGACCUGCGUUGUAUUAGCUAGUUGGUGAGGUAACGGCUCACCAAGGCAACGAUACAUAGCCGACCUGAGAGGGUGAUCGGCCACACUGGGACUGAGACACGGCCAGACUCCACGGGAGCAGCAGUAGGGAAUCUUCGGCAAUGGACGGAAGUCUGACCGAGCAACGCCGCGUGAGUGAAGUAAGGUUUUCGAUCGUAAAGCUACUUGUUAGUAAGGAGAAGAACGAGUAGUGAGUAGUAGGAAGUUACACACGUGUAGACGUAUACGUUACCAAGAAA
rnacentral:rRNA from 1 species